UUUUUACUCCAUCCAACAACAAGGGACGUGUUAGCUUUUGUUUGACCAAUACUUUGAUCAUAAAUUACUGUAUUAAUAAAUAAUUAUAUGACAUAGAUUCAUAUCCAUUGUAUUCCUACUCAAGAAUAUUUGCUUAUGGCUAUGAUUUUGAUCACGUUAGUCACAUAUUCUUGAAGUAAUUUGUGGUCAAAGGCUUGGUCAACUGAAAGCUAAUAUGUUUUCUAUUGUUGGACGGAAGGAAUAUAAG